UACGAAGGGGGCUAGCGUUGUUCGGAUUUACUGGGCGUAAAGCGCACGUAGGCGGAUCGUUAAGUCAGGGGUGAAAUCCUGGAGCUCAACUCCAGAACUGCCUUUGAUACUGGCGAUCUUGAGUCCGGAAGAGGUGAGUGGAACUCCUAGUGUAGAGGUGGAAUUCGUAGAUAUUAGGAGGAACACCAGUGGCGAAGGCGGCUCACUGGUCCAUUACUGACGCUGAGGUGCGAAAGCGUGGGGAGCAAACAGG
rnacentral:rRNA from 1 species